rnacentral:rRNA from 1 species
GUGCGUAACGCGUAUACAAUCUGCCUUUCACUGGGGGAUAGCCCGAAGAAAUUUGGAUUAAUACCCCAUAGUAUAGGAGCACGGCAUCGUGAUACUAUUMAAGCUUAGGUGGUGAAAGAUGAGUAUGCGUUCUAUUAGCUAGUUGGAGAGGUAACGGCUCCCCAAGGCGAUGAUAGAUAGGGGUUCUGAGAGGGAUGUCCCCCACACUGGUACUGAGAUACGGACCAGACUCCUACGGGAGGCAGCAGUGAGGAAUAUUGGACAAUGGUCSGAAGACUGAUCCAGCCAUGCCGCGUGCAGGAUGAMGGYCUUAUGGRUUGUAAACUGCU